UACGUAGGGGGCUAGCGUUGUCCGGAAUCAUUGGGCGUAAAGAGCGUGUAGGCGGCCCGGUAAGUCCGCUGUAAAAGUCAAAGGCUCAACCUUUGAAUGUCAGUGGAUACUGCCGGGCUAGAGUCCGGAAGAGGCGAGUGGAACUCCUGGUGUAGCGGCGGAAUGCGCAGAUAUCAGGAAGAACACCCGUGGCUAAGGCGGCUCUCUAGUACGGUACUGACGCUGAGACGCGAAAGCGUGGGGAGCGAACAGG
rnacentral:rRNA from 1 species